rnacentral:rRNA from 1 species
UACGUAGGGGGCUAGCGUUGUCCGGAUUUAUUGGGCGUAAAGAGCGUGUAGGCGGCCAGGUAGGUCUGCUGUGAAAACUCGAGGCUCAACCUCGAGACGUCGGCGGAAACCAUCUGGCUAGAGUCCGGAAGAGGAGAGUGGAAUUCCCGGUGUAGCGGUGAAAUGCGCAGAUAUCGGGAGGAACACCAAUGGCGAAGGCAGCUCGCUGGGACGUGACUGACGCUGAGACGCGAAAGCGUGGGGAGGCAACAGG